rnacentral:rRNA from 1 species
CAGUGAGGAAUAUUGGACAAUGGGCGAGAGCCAGAUCCAGCCAUGCCGCGUGCAGGAAGACUGCCCUAUGGGUUGUAAACUGCUUUUUCUACGGGAAGAAACACCCCUUCGUGAAGGGGCUUGACGGUACCGUAUGAAUAAGGAUCGGCUAACUCCGUGC